GUGCCAGCAGCCGCGGUAAUACAUAGGGGUCAAGCGUUGUCCGGAUUUAUUGGGCGUAAAGAGCUCGUAGGCGGUUCAACAAGUCGGUCGUAAAAGUUUAGGGCUCAACCCUAAAAUGUCGAUCGAUACUGUUGUGACUAGGAUACGGUAGAGGUGAAUGGAAUUCCGGGUGUAGAGGUGAAAUUCGUAGAUAUUCGGAGGAACACCAGUGGCGAAGGCGGCUCACUGGCUCGAUACUGACGCUGAGGUGCGAAAGCGUGGGGAGCAAACAGGAUUAGAUA
rnacentral:rRNA from 1 species